rnacentral:rRNA from 1 species
ACGGUGACGUUGAGCAAAUCCCAGAAAUAACGUCCCAGUUCGGAUUGUAGUCUGCAACCCGACUACAUGAAGCUGGAAUCGCUAGUAAUCGCGAAUCAGAAUGUCGCGGUGAAUACGUUCCCGGGUCUUGUACACACCGCCCGUCACACCAUGGGAGUCGGAAAUGCCCGAAGUCAGUGACCCAACCGUAAGGAGGGAGCUGCCGAAGGUGGAGCCGGUAACUGGGGUGAAGUCGUAACAAGGUAGC